rnacentral:misc_RNA from 1 species
CCCGUCCAGCAUUCACCCUCUGUGUACCCUUACCGUGUUGCUUCCCCAGGCCAGCGGCCACUGCUGCCAGCCACCCGGACCGCCCUCCGCGGUCGGGGUCCUGAGGUGCCUGGGGGAGGGCCCAACCGCACAAUCCGUCGCUCAUCCAAGCAGUCUGAGCAGGCCACCCGCCUGAGAAGGUAACAUGUUAAAACUUUCAACAACGGAUCUCUUGGCUCUCGCAUCGAUGAAGAACGCAGCGAAAUGCGAUAAGUAAUGUGAAUUGCAGAAUUCAGUGAAUCAUCGAAUCUUUGAACGCACAUUGCGCCCUCUGGCAUUCCUCAGGGCAUGCCUGUUCGAGCGUCAAUAGAAGCCCUUCCAGUCACCCUCCCGGUGGUACUGGGGGAGGUGGGUAGCCCACCAGGCAUGAGGCCCACCCCUCCCGAAAGCCAUGGGCCCGCGAGCCGACAGCCGUCGCUGACUUUGUAAGAGCUUGGAAAGCCUGAACCAGUCGGCAGCGCGCGUCGGUCGGCGCCCCAAACUGGACCCCCAAUCCAGCAAGACAAUCUGGGUGACCUCGGAUCA